AACGCACCUUGCGCUCCUUGGUAUUCCGAGGAGCAUGCCUGUUUGAGUGUCAGUUUAUUCUCAAUAUAUCUAGCUUUUGUAGCUGGGAAGUAUUGGAUGUGGAGGUAUUGCAGGCCCUUUUGAGGUGUCAGCUCCUCUGAAAUGCAUUAGCAGAACCGUUUGCAAUCUGUUAACUGGUGUGAUAAUAUCUAUACUAGUAGGAUUGCUCUCAGUUUGUUCAGCUUCUAAUGGUUUUCCAUUAUGGAAUAUGAACCUUUGGCCUCAAAUCAGGUAGGACUACCCGCUGAACUUAA
rnacentral:misc_RNA from 1 species